AGAGAAUAAAGAUCAGGAUGUGGUUGCAAAUGAUGCUGAGGAUUCUGUUAUGGGGAGACUCAAUAUCCUAAGACAACGAGGAGACGGCUUGAAAUCAUCUUUUGUGGAAGAGAAAAAAGAUCAGGAUGUGGUUGCCAAUGAUGCUGAGGAUUCUGUUUUGGCAAGACUCAAUAUCCUAAGACAGCGAGGAGACAACUUGAAUUCAUCUUUCAUGGAAGAGAAAAAGUAUCCAGAUAUUGUUGCCAAUGAUGCUGAGGAUUCUGUUUUGGCAAGACUCAAUAUCCUAAGACAGCGAGGAGACAACUUGAAUUCAUCUUUCUUGGAAGAGAAAAAGUAUCCAGAUUUGGUUGCCAAUGAUGCUGAAGAUUCUGUUAUGGCAAGAUUCAAUGU
rnacentral:lncRNA from 1 species